rnacentral:rRNA from 1 species
AAGAACGCUGGCGGCGUGGAUAAGACAUGCAAGUCGCACGGGGCUUUCUGGGUAGCAAUACUCAGGGAGUUCAGUGGCGCAAGGGUGCGUAACACGUGGGCAACCUGCCCGAGAGUGGGGGAUAGCCCGCCGAAAGGCGGAUUAAUACCGCAUGUGGCUACUGGGGAAAAUCCCUGGGACGCUAAAGCCGGGGUCAAACCUGGCGCUCUUGGAUGGGCCCGCGGCCUAUCAGCUUGUUGGUGAGGUAACGGCUCACCAAGGCGAUGACGGGUAGCUGGUCUGAGAGGACGACCAGCCACACUGGAACUGAGACACGGUCCAGACACCUACGGGUGGCGGCAGUCGAGAAUUUUUCUCAGUGGGGGCAACCCUGAAGGAGCGACGCCGCGUGGAGGAUGAAGGUCUUCGGAUUGUAAACUCCUGUCAUUGGUGAACAAGGCCCGCGGUUAACUGCCGUUGGGUUUGAUAGUAGCCGAAGAGGAAGGGACGGCUAACUCUGUGCCAGCAGCCGCGGUAAUA